ensembl:lncRNA
CAGUGGUUCAUCAGAACCUCGGGGGAUGUCCUGUGGAUCCUGUGGAUCCUGUGGGUUGCAGGGUGGGUCCUACCUAGACCAGGCUGAUCCUGGACCAUCCCACAGAUGCUCAAUCAGAUCUGGAUGUGGGGAGUGUGGAACCCAGAUGUUCAGAGGGAGAUGAUGCCACAUCUGGUCCAGCUGAUGGAAGGUCUUGAAGUUCUCUGACUGGCCUGGACUGAAGAUGGUCGUCUCACUGGAUUUAAGGUUCAAAUGCCCAGUAACAAACUCCACCAAUGUGCCAACAGGGAAGCUUUAGGUUUAGUAAAUGUUGCUAUGAAGGUUUCACUGUUUUUCUUUGUGAAUGCAAUGUGCUCCAACUGAAACUUGAAUUAGAACUUAGAAGUAAAUCCUUCCAUCUGAAAGGAUUUAGUUGCAUUAAUAAUCUCAUAACAUUCUAAUUUUUAUUCCAGUCUUGGUUGGAAAUAGAAUCUCUGUAUUGAUUCAGGUAAAAACUGAACUUCACAGCAUGUUGGAGCAAAACAACCAGAUGAAAACUGUGAUGGUGUUGGAUUGUCAGACCGUAAUGUUGCAGCUCAAAGCAGCUUUUCUAGCUCAGUUCAUUCUGACAUUCAGCUAUGAAUCAACACAGCAGAUGGUGAUCCAUGCUGUGGAAGUCUCACAUCUCCUGAUUUAAUGGAGCUGCUUUGCACUUUUUACACUGUUUAUUCACCAACACUUUAUUUAAUCAAAGUCCCAUCUAGUUUUCAUGAGGAAUGUGAUGUUUUAAUUUCUCUGUGAAUAACUGCAGUCUAAUGCAACAGCUGGAGUUGUAACAUCUGUCCUGAUAUUGAUCAUGAAGUAUUGAUCAGAAUACUUAUGGUUAGCAGUCAUCCCUGAAGUUUUACAUUAAAAUCUUUACUUGUGUUGUGAACUUUGGUAAGAAGCAGAAACGUUAGCGUUGCCAUGGAUACACGAGUGUUAAAUUCUGUCCGUGUUUCCAUUUUGGGAAAUAUAGUCCAGUUCCAGAAUGUGGAGGAAUUUAGUCUCAAAAUCACAGACAACAAAUAUUAUCUGAAAGUUGGGUUAUUGUUGUUUAUCAGCACAAUACAAAAAGAUUAAUGUUAGAAAUAUUCCAGUUAAGACUCUAGAAUAUCAUGAUUUAUGUAAAUUUACCUCAAUAAUAUGAAUGUUCAGGUUAAGAUUGUACAGUGAUAUUUAUUAUGUAAGUUUAGCUGAUUAAAGUUUAUGACUGCACUAAAAUAUUAUUUAAAUUGACAUCAUUAUUAUAAUAUUUAGGGUCAGACCCUACAGUAUUGAGAUUAAGAAAUCAAAUAUUCUAUAAAAUGUAAAUACACUGAACUCAUUUGGAUAUAUUUAAAUGAGACUCUACAAUAUUAUUUGACACAAAUCUGUCUAAAUCAAAAUUUUAAUAAUUUUUUACAAACAUUUACUGGACUGAUUUAAAUAUGAAAAUCACUCCUUUCUAAUCCUCUGCUGUACGUUCAAACCUGAGGCCUUAAAUAGAAACACACAAGUAUCUGUUUGAAGGAACUUCUGCAGAGUCCUGGUUCCAGAACAUGAUGAUAGAAUUAUAGACAAACUUUAACAAAAGCUGCCUGAGAGUUUACAGGUUUUUAUGUUGGAUUUCUUCAGUAAUUUAAUGAGUUAUCAGCAAAAAUCAAGUGUUCAUUUGAUGAACUUCAUUUCCUAAAACAUCCAGAAUUGGAGCUCAUAUCUUUGGCAGCUGUAAAGUUUCUGCUCCUUCAAAGUUCACAACACAAUGAAUGAAUUCCUAAAACACUCUCAAUGCUGGAG